rnacentral:rRNA from 1 species
AGAACGAACGCUGGCGGCAGGCUUAACACAUGCAAGUCGAACGGUUGUAGCAAUACAGCAGUGGCAGACGGGUGAGUAACACGUGGGAACCUUCCUAGGGGUACGGAACAACUCAGGGAAACUUGAGCUAAUACCGUAUACGUCCGUGAGGAGAAAGUUUUAACGCCCCUAGACGGGCCCGCGUAGGAUUAGGUAGUUGGUGAGGUAACGGCUCACCAAGCCUACGAUCCUUAGCUGAUCUGAGAGGAUGAUCAGCCACACUGGGACUGAGACACGGCCCAGACCUCCGUACGGGAGGCAGCAGUGGGGAAUCUGGACAGUGGGCGCAAGCCUAGAUCCGAGCCA